CGAAUGUAGUUUAAAUUGCUUCAAAAACAAUCGAUCUAGUAAGUGAACUGAUUGGGGAACUAAUUUUCAAAAAAUACGUUGUGUAAAGUCGAGAAAAUCAAAGUUAAAGUUUAUGUAAAUCAAGGGGAAAUCUCUAUCACAUAUAAAGAUACGACACGCUUAUGAUUUUUCUUUGUGUUUUCCUCAUGAAUUUAUAAAUGAGUUUUUGAAAUGUGCAUGGUUUACAGGUACAGUAUAAACUAUUAUAAACUCUGGCCGUUGAGAAAGAUCGUAACUCUAUAUUUUUACGACCAUAUGGAAACCAGCCUCAAGAACAGCUAACCAAGAUCGCUCGUGAUUGGAAACUCUCAUGCAAUCUCAGACUCGUUUCAUCCCCCAGAAGUAACAUUGUUUUUCACUGUCUAAAAGUUUGCAUCUAAAAAGUUUGCGAAACAUUCUCCAGAUCGUUUCUAAUUUAAAGACUCAUUUGCAGCUCUUCGAAUUCUUUUUCGCUCCACCAAACAGCAUGGCUGUUCAAUUAUGUAGCUAUGUACAUAAUCAAUUUAAUCCACCGUGAUUUGCAGCACAUCAACAGGACAACCCAAACUACAAUAAAAGUGCGUGUACAGUUUCUUAGCUCUGGUUCGCGUACGGCUCGGGGUUGUUCACGUCAUCCACCGUUGAGCCAUACAGCGACCAAGCGGGCAUGUACUCCUUGUUGUGUCUUUGGAGUGAUGAGGUCGAGCUUGAGACGAGCGUUGGAUGGCGUGUUGGCUGUUCUCUGUAGAGUUCCAUGACGUCAGUCAACGACGACACUGCUGCUUUGUUCUCGUAAGAUGCCGUGUAAGAUGUGAAAGCCU
rnacentral:lncRNA from 1 species